GACGAACGCUGGCGGCGUGCUUAACACAUGCAAGUCGAACGGUGAAGCGCCUUCCUUUUUGGUGGGUGUGGAUGAGUGGCGAACGGGUGAGUAACACGUGAGUAACCUGCCCCCUUCUUCUGGAUAACCGCAUGAAAGUGUGGCUAAUACGGGAUAUUCUGGGUCUGUCGCAUGAUGGGUCUGGGAAAGAUAUUGUUUCGGUGGGGGAUGGGCUCGCGGCCUAUCAGCUUGUUGGUGGGGUGAUGGCCUACCAAGGCGGUGACGGGUAGCCGGCCUGAGAGGGUGGACGGUCACACUGGGACUGAGACACGGCCCAGACUCAUACGGGAGGCAGCAGUGGGGAAUAUUGCACAAUGGGCGCAAGCCUGAUGCAGCGACGCCGCGGGAGGGAUGGAGGCCUGCGGGUUGUGAACCUCUUUCGCCAGUGAAGCAGGCCUGCCUCGUUUGUGGGUGGGUUGACGGUAGCUGGAUAAGAAGCGCCGGCUAACUACGUG
rnacentral:rRNA from 1 species